rnacentral:rRNA from 1 species
GGCGAACGGGUGCGUAACACGUGAAGAACUUGUCCUUCGGCGGGGGAUAGCCGGCCCAACGGCCGGGUAAUACCGCGUACGCCGGCGAGAUCACAUGGUCUUGCCGGGAAAGCAGCAAUGCACCGAUGGAGAGCUUCGCGGCCUAUCAGCUAGUUGGCGGGGUAAUGGCCCACCAAGGCGACGACGGGUAGCUGGUCUGAGAGGAUGAUCAGCCACAUUGGGACUGAGACACGGCCCAGACUCCUACGGGAGGCAGCAGUGGGGAAUAUUGCGCAAUGGGCGAAAGCCUGACGCAGCGACGCCGCGUGUGGGAUGACGGCCUUCGGGUUGUAAACCACUGUCGCGAGGGACGAAACAAAUGACGGUACCUCGAAAGGAAGCACCGGCUAACUCUGUGCCAGCAGCCGCGGUAAUACAGAGGGUGCGAGCGUUGUCCGGAAUUACUGGGCGUAAAGGGCGCGCUAGGCGGCCUGAUAAGUAUGGGGUGAAAUCUCAAGGCUCAACCUUGAGGCUGCCUUGUAGACUGUCA